ensembl:snRNA
ACCAUCUUUUUCUUGGGAUUGUGCUACUAUCCAAUGAGUGCAUAGUGAGGGCAGUACUGCUAAUGCCUAAACAACACACUUGCAUCAACUAGAGCUUUGCUUUACACUGGUGCAGUUAAAAAAAAA